rnacentral:rRNA from 1 species
ACGAACGCUGGCGGCGUGCUUAACACAUGCACGUCGAACGGAAAGGCCUGCUUUCCCUUGUGGAUUGCGGGUACUCGAGUGGCGAACGGGUGAGUAACACGUGAGUGAUCUGCCCCCAACUUGGGUAUAAGCCUGGGAAACUGGGUCUAAUUCCCGAUAGGACUGCAGGGUGGUGCCUGUGGUGGAAAACGAUUUUCUAGUGGUUGGGGAUGAGCUCGCGGCCUAUCAGCUUGUUGGUGGGGUAAUGGCCUACCAAGGCGGCGACGGGUAGCCGGCCUGAGAGGGUGGACGGCCACAUUGGGACUGAGAUACGGCCCAGACGCCUACGGGAGGCAGCAGUGGGGAAUAUUGCACAAUGGGCGGAAGCCUGAUGCAGCGACGCCGCGUGGGGGAUGACGGCCUUCGGGUUGUAAACUCCUUUCGACCGCGAGGAAGCCACCUGGUUGGAAGGGUGGUGACGGUAGUGGUAGAAGAAGCACCGGCUAACUACGUG